rnacentral:rRNA from 1 species
AUUGAACGCUGGCGGCAGGCCUAACACAUGCAAGUCGAACGAGUGGCGGACGGGUGAGUAAUGUCUGGGAAACUGCCCGAUGGAGGGGGAUAACUACUGGAAACGGUAGCUAAUACCGCAUACCAUCGGGUUUGCCCAGAUGGGAUUGGCUUGUAGGUGAGGUAACGGCUCACCUAGGCGACGAUACCUAACUGGUCUGAGAGGAUGAACGGACACACUGGAACUGAGACACGGUCCAGACUCUUCCGGGAGGCAGAAUUUGGGAAGAUUGCACAAUUGGCGCAAGCCUUAUGCAGCCAUGCCGCGUGUAUGAAGAAGGCCUUCGGGUUUUAAAGUACUUUCAGCGGGGAUUCGUUACCCGCAGAAGAAGCACCGGCUAACUCCGUGCCAGCAGCCGCGGUAAUUC